UGGGGAAUCUUAGACAAUGGGGGCAACCCUGAUCUAGCCAUGCCGCGUGAGUGAUGAAGGCCUUAGGGUUGUAAAGCUCUUUCAGCUGGGAAGAUAAUGACGGUACCAGCAGAAGAAGCCCCGGCUAACUCCGUGCCAGCAGCCGCGGUAAUACGGAGGGGGCUAGCGUUGUUCGGAAUUACUGGGCGUAAAGCGCACGUAGGCGGACUGGAAAGUUGGGGGUGAAAUCCCGGGGCUCAACCUCGGAACUGCCUUCAAAACUAUCAGUCUGGAGUUCGAGAGAGGUGAGUGGAAUUCCGAGUGUAGAGGUGAAAUUCGUAGAUAUUCGGAGGAACACCAGUGGCGAAGGCGGCUCACUGGCUCGAUACUGACGCUGGGGUGCGAAAGCGUGGGGAGCAAACA
rnacentral:rRNA from 1 species